UACGGGAGGUGCAAGCGUUGUUCGGAUUGACUGGGCGUAAAGCGCACGUAGGCGGGUAGAUUAGUCGGAUGUGAAAGCCCUGGGCUUAACCUGGGAACUGCAUCCGAAACUGUCUAUCUUGAAUGCCUGAGGGGUUGGUGGAAUUCCUGGUGUAGGAGUGAAAUCCGUAGAUAUCAGGAGGAACACCGGAGGCGAAGGCGGCCAACUGGCAGUGCAUUGACGCUGAGGUGCGAAAGCGUGGGGAGCAAACAGG
rnacentral:rRNA from 1 species